CAUCUGCGGAGCUGGGCCUGGAAAGACCCCCAUGUGUCGGGAGGGUGUGGAGGUCAGAGAGACUCCAGUUGGGAAGAAAGAGUAACCGCCCCAAGAGACACAUGGCUGUCAAAGUUUAAGAAAGUUAAGGUAGGUUUGGAGCAACGCUGCUGGGCGGUCCCUCGGCAGAGCGUGCCUCUGUGAGUCGCCUCUGUGUCCUCCGUUCGCUGGUGGAGGGGAGCAGGCGCGAGGUGGGCUUCUGGGUCGGUGAGGGGCCGGCGCCCAGUGGGGCAGCGCUGGCGAGGGAAGGGGGUGCAUUUCAGAUCCCUGCUCUCGGAGCUCUGCUGCUCAGGGUCGUAAGACCCUCCAAAUACGAUAGACAGACGCUGUCGGGUAACAUAAACCUGGUUCCGUGAGAAGGAAUUUGUGUGUGUUCAUCUCAAAACGUGGGCAAUAGAAGGAAUUUGCAGUGAAGACACUGGCUUGUAACGAGAUGAUGCGAGUUACCAAACUUCCAAAUGGUGACGUUUAUUACUAAAAGGAGCGAAAUUUUUCUUUAAUCUCGACAGUGUCUCUCACUUGCGGAUAGUGAAGAAUGUAGUAAUGGUAUGAUUUAAACAGUUAUAUUCGUUAAGGAAAGUUAUUUUCAUUUCGGAAGCAACCAAGCCAUUUUUCCAGCUAAAACAAGGGAAGAAAGGCAAAGGUAACGUUUUAACCGCUUCAUCAGUGAGAAAAAUCAGAACACAGUCGACAUUGCCUUUUUGUCAAUGUGCAAAACGAUUGCCUGUAUUAACAGACAGUUUACAUGUACCAGGACAUAAGGAGGGAGAAAAGAAAGAGACCGACGUGUGAGAGAAUGCACAGGAGGGCAUCUGCGUCAGGUUAGUGGCUUCACCUCUGGAGUGAGGGCCCACCUGCACGGAACGGACCGUGUGGGUUUACUUCAGUCAGGCUACGUCAGGGGGCGUUUCUUUGGAGAUGGCGGAUGGUACCCAUAAGUAGGGUCCCGCUGGAGGACAUUGUCAGGGAAGCACGAGAUCAGCAUCAGCGGCACAUCUGCCCACACGUGAGCCACGGUUCUGCAGCGCGGGGCGGACCGCCACGCAGCAGGCCCGGCGGUGAGUGCAGGCCGCAUUGCUGUCACUGGAGCUGGGCUCCCGAGAGGCCCAGUGGGAAGAGCUGGGGGUCCCAGGGGUGCAGGAGCAGCACGGGGGGAGGCGGGCCCCUGCCCCCUGCAUUCACGCCCGUCUCCUCGCUGUACCUGCCCCCGGUGUUGGGAAGCCCUUGCUGGGGCAGUGGAGCGCGGCCCUUCCUGCCCCGUCCCUGCCCCGUCCCUGCCCUUUGCGGGCCUGGUGUGGGGUGGGAGUCACUCACUGAGCGGCAGUCGGCUGCCUGAUGGUCCUGUUGAUGGCGUUCAAGGGGGGGGGGGGGACCCUUGGGCCAGGCCCGCCUCUUGGUCACGGUUGAACACAAUACCUGCCGGAAAACCCUCGGUCUCUUCUGUGGUCCACACGCAGGAGGCCCUGGGAUACCAGUGUGCUCUGCUCUGAAGGGACCAGGAAUUCUCACGCCUGCCUUGGGUGUGUCAAGCGCUGACCUCUCAGGAAGAGCCUGGUGCCUGUCUGACCGUCCUGGCAGGCGUGGAGUGAGUUACUGAAAUGGGCUGAACGAGGAACCGCCAGCGGGUGGAGGGCAGGGUCCAGCCGAGGCCCGUCUCGGCCACUCCUUGGGGCCUCCAGGGUUGGGAUUGUGCUGUCACCGUGUUGCCAGGCAGCGGCUGCGCACCUGGAGACCUGCACCCACCUGUGACAGGCAGGACGGGAAGGGUGUGCACAUGUGAUAGCCGUGUGAGCCCCGGCUUACCGUGAGGGGUGUGUGUUGGGGGCAGCGAGGUGGGCGCGAGAGGGGUGCUGCCCCAGACCCAGGCCCGAGCCUGCUCACCGAGGCUCGCCCGGGGCUGGCUGCGUCCACACUGUGACCCACCCCCGGGGGUGCCUGCUUCCCUGAGGUGUGGGACGAUCUGGAACAAAAUGUGUUGCCCGUUUGCAUCCCAGGCUCUUCCACGUUGGGGUGGAAGCAGACUCCAGAAGCUGCGUCUGUGCUAACGCAUGCGCCGGUUCUGGGGAGCGUUUGGCAUUGCUUCCAUCGUCCUCAGGGGUGUCCACCUGCUUUGGGCCCCCCUCCGUGCGGCCGUCUCCUUCCUGCUGUUCCCCUGGGUGCCCGGCAGCCCCUGCUGGAGGACGGGCCCCAGCAUCUUGGUGCCCGGCGCCUCAUACCCACCCUCGAGGGUGGUCCACGUCCUUGAGGUCAUGUUGUCCAGGCUCGUGGACAUGCUGUACAAGAGCAGCUUCGUUCUCUGGUUUUACACAAAGGCAGCUGCACUUUUUCUUCUUUGAAGGCUGAGUUAGUGACACUAGUCGGCACUUGGGACCGGUGGUUUUUCAGUCUUCGCUUCCUGCCCGUUUCCUGACACCUGGACAGCCCUGGGCAGGAGAGCGAGACUGACCAGGCCCUGAGCCGGGCUUCCCCUCCCUUCUGCGCCCUCGUCUGGACUCUCGGUCCCCCUACGUAACUGACCAGCAGCACAUCCUCGUCCCGGGCAAGAUUAACAGUGACUCUGUCGUGGUGCUGACUCGAUGUCACGACAGGACAAGCUGGAGGCUGUCGGUGGACUGCGGGUGGGCGGCCCGUGUGGCAGUGAGAAGAGAGGUCGUGACGCCUGGGAGGCACCUUUACGACGGGGUGUGGACAGUCCUUGUAUUUGGAGCCCUCUCAGCCCUCCCCUGGAACGGCUUCAGCCACGGGCAUUGCGUUUUUGUGGCCACGCUGAGCUUUUCUGCAUGGACACCAUCUUCCUCGUCAGUCAUUUGGGUGCAGGUGUCGCAUACCCUGUGCAGCGUCCUCUCCCGCUCUUGCAGGUGAGGUGCGGGUGCAGCUUCCCAGCCUGGGGGUGGGGGAUGGCCGGGCGGCGGGGGGGUGGCCUGUCCCCCACUCCCCGGCUCAGCGCAGGUAACUCAAUUUCUCAGCCUCUGGUUUCCACAUUUCAAGCACGGAAGCAGCUGUUAGGGGAGAAGAUGACUCUCACGAGGUUGCUCUGGGAUUAAUUAAAACCUGUCAGCGCUCCGCGCCACUAGGGCCUCGCGCCAGCAUCUGUUCCUGCCCCGUCCCGCGUGUCCACCAGGAACGCGCCCGGCAGGAGCGGGGUCAGCCAGCCUGGCCCAGAGGGAGCUCGCGGGCGCACCUGUCAGUAAACCCGGGCCUCCGGCAGGUAGGAAAGGCUGGCCGGGCUGAGCGAAAGCUUUAGGCCUGUCUGCAGGGCAGCCUGGCCUGCAAACCAGGUAAAAAUUAGCUUUUAGGGCCUCUCAGACGCAGUACGUCGUGGUCUCCGUGGAAUCCACUCGGAAUUCACCCGGGUGUAGGGAGAUGGCAGUAACGUGGGUGCUGCUCUGGUUUUCAGUUGUGUUACUGGCAGCCGCACAAGUGAUGGGGCGCCGGCCAGCCCCCUGGGAGCCCCCAGCCCUGAAGCCACUGCUUGCCUCAGAUGACGGGCAUUUGUGCUGUUGCUUUUCUAUGUAGCUAUGUUACCUCAGGGUGUGUGCGUGUGAGUAUGUAACCUGCCUGUGUCGGUACCAUUUUGUGUCAUGCAGUUACUGGAAUGCACAGAAGUCUUUCUUAUCUUCACAAAGCGUUGCAGACGGAAUCACCAGACACACACCCCAGCAUGGACGACGCAGAGAGCUGCGACGAGGAGCAGGCAUGUUUAUUUGGUUCCCUCCAGGGCUGCGGCAGCCACGCGGUUGUAAAAAAGGAACGGAGAGUAAGGUGUACAAAAACGUGAACUGUCCCUUUAGAAAGUAACAUCGUCAGCCGUGUAUUUCCUAUGGAUCCUCCCUCCCCCUCCUGUGUCCCCACACCCUGAAAGACCCCCAAGCGCAACCAAACUGUGAGAAGGAACAGGGGGUGAGUAUGUAACAGAAAAAAAAAACUGGAUUUAACGGGAACAUGCUCUAAUCUUUAGUUUAUUUCUGGUUAAAAAUAUAGCAAUCCAGUGCAGUGUAGUAAAGAAAUCUGCUUCAAAGGUAGCAGAGAAACAGCUGAACAUAAGCAAAGCAAGGCAGGGUCCACGGACGGCCGUGCCCAGGACCUUCCCAGGCGUGGGUGCGGGGGCCCCGUCUGGACGGGCCCGGGCCCCACAGACACAUCCAUGCAUGUGGCCGAGGCUGCUCCGUGGCUGGGACCACGGGGCAUCCAGACAGUCCGGGACCUUAUUCUUUUGUGUGGACAGUGGGACAACGCUGGCAGGGAGGGCAGACACACCGGGAACCUGGUUUGGAUUGAAACAAGGUAUGUUGCAUAUUUUGGAGAUGGAUAUGUCAUGAUUUCUCAGGAAUUGUCAAGCCACUGGGUUUCAACCACAUUCCUGUCCUGGGACCCGACCAGCUCCAGAGUAUGGAUGAGGCAUCUGGAAGAAAUAUGCAUAUCUGUGAGGGAAGUCGAGGCAGGCACAGGACAAGAAUGUGAAAACCCGUGGGCUCAGUGACACUGAGGGAGGACGACAUCGUGUGAGGGCUGUCAGGGCCGCGGACAUCUGACAGCCUGGCCGCACAUCCUGCAUCCUCAGCGCAGAAACGCCACGUGCUCCAAGCCCAGGCCCAACGGCAGGCUGUCCAAGUGAGGCCUUCCCCCACGCCCGCGCUGCUCCCUGGCCCCCUGGCCCUGGCGCCAGCCCCCUGGAUGCCCACAGCACAGCAGCCCUGGGGUCUGGGGGUGGGGGGAGACUGGGGAAAAGAAGGACUUUGCCUUCAGACUCAGUGUCGGGGCAGCGCCGGAGGGCCGGGCUGUGAUCGUUUCAUGGGCAGAAGAGAAAGCAGGUCUCUGCUUCCCUAAGUAAGUGUGCAGCACAGAUUUAAAGUAGAAAAAGGCCCAGGCCGCUGCCAGCUGGAGCGGGCGCCCUCUCCCGUGCCUCACGCCCGGGCUUGCCACCCGCUAGCCACCUCGCAGGCCGCCGGACGCUCCAGGGGCUCUGCCUCUGGUUGCCUCCUUUUCCACGUCCCAGACGGGGAUGUGACGACGGUGGUGACUGUAUUUUUUGCCAUUGAUUUGCCGGGAUCCCUUCUCUUUCCACGUCAAGCUGGAGGGUCGGCGUGCUGGCCUCCUUCUGCCAUGCCACACAGCAGAGUGUUAUACAAGCAAAGAAUUUUGGCUAAAAUCCAAAAAACAUGACCCAGAAAAAAAGGCAAACUGUGAGUAAUACCCAAUCACGUGGUUCUGUGAGAAGACCAGGAAGUUGUCGUUGGGUGUCCGAGCUACGAGCCUUCCCUUCUGUCGUUCUGCUUUUAAUGUCCCCCGUUUGUACACCAGCUGCUUUUGCUAAUGCGACAAUCUCCUCAGAUGAAAAAGUUAAUAAACAAAAUGGCGACUCCGAUGUUUAGCAAGAUCACCAUGGCGACCAGGAUAGGCGCCGAGCCCUGGAACGGAAGCAAAAGAGGGGAGGUGAGCCCAAGGCCACACCCCCUCCUCCUGAGCGAAACUAGGGCUUCCCAGAGGGUCGGGGGAACGGAAGUCUCAGGCAGUGGUCAGAGGCUCCCACGAGCUUCUCAGUGUGGAGUCCUUGGGGCUUUGACCCUUUCAGACCUGCGUGCCUGGGUCCCGGCAUAACCACCCGAGCUCUGCACACCUGGGACGCCAGGGGCAGCCCGCCCAGCGUGGCCCCAGACCUGGCGACGGGAGAGCCCUCUCAGUUCAGUGAACAACUGCCCAGGAGCUGCGCAGCCGCCAGGAGCCCCUCGCUCUCCUGGGGCACGAGCCCACCUGGCGCUUAGACCACAGCCUCUCCCCCCCAGACCCGCCGUCCUUGAGCCUCUGCAGUGACGGUGCCAAGGCCACGGUGCUGGACAAGGAGGAGGGGCGCCAGCCGCCCCGACCACCCCGGGCCUCUGCUGGAAGCCCCCUCCUGUGGAACCACUCAGCGGCCUGGGGGACUCUGUCCCUCUCACCCACGUGGGAGCCAGACCCGUGUGUGUCCUGCCUGCUCUGGCCUCUGUGUUUCCCUCCAGGACGCAGGACGUCCCUCCAAGCGCCACCGGUGAGGACCUCUGGGGCGGAGAGAAGGUCAAGUCCCAGCGCAGCAGCCGGGGCUCCGCCCGGUCCCCCAGCCGCAGGCUCUCCAGCCUCUGAACGGCCGGCUCCGUGCACGAGGCCGGCCUGGCGUGCUCC